AACGCGAAGAACCUUACCUGGUCUUGACAUCCACAGAACCUUGUAGAGAUACGAGGGUGCCUUCGGGAACUGUGAGACAGGUGCUGCAUGGCUGUCGUCAGCUCGUGUUGUGAAAUGUUGGGUUAAGUCCCGCAACGAGCGCAACCCUUAUCCUUUGUUGCCAGCGGCCCGGCCGGGAACUCAAAGGAGACUGCCAGUGAUAAACUGGAGGAAGGUGGGGAUGACGUCAAGUCAUCAUGGCCCUUACGACCAGGGCUACACACGUGCUACAAUGGCGCAUACAAAGAGAAGCGACCUCGCGAGAGCAAGCGGACCUCAUAAAGUGCGUCGUAGUCCGGAUUGGAGUCUGCAACUCGACUCCAUGAAGUCGGAAUCGCUAGUAAUCGUGGAUCAGAAUGCCACGGUGAAUACGUUCCCGGGUCUUGUACACACGC
rnacentral:rRNA from 1 species